rnacentral:rRNA from 1 species
CCUACGGGAGGCAGCAGUGAGGAAUAUUGGUCAAUGGGCUUACGCCUGAACCAGCCAAGUCGCGUGAGGGAAGACUGCCCUAUGGGUUGUAAACCUCUUUUGUCAGGGAGCAAUUGGCGCUACGUGUAGCGUUAUCGAGAGUACCUGAAGAAAAAGCAUCGGCUAACUCCGUGCCAGCAGCCGCGGUAAUACGGAGGAUGCGAGCGUUAUCCGGAUUUAUUGGGUUUAAAGGGUGCGUAGGCGGAAUGCCAAGUCAGCGGUAAAAUCGAGAGGCUCAACCUCUUUCCGCCGUUGAAACUGUCGGUCUUGAGUGGGCGAGAAGUAUGCGGAAUGCGUGGUGUAGCGGUGAAAUGCAUAGAUAUCACGCAGAACUCCGAUUGCGAAGGCAGCAUACCGGCGCCCGACUGACGCUGAGGCACGAAAGCGUGGGUAUCGAACAGGAUUAGAUACCCGAGUAGUC